GGAGCAGCAGUAGCAGCAGCAGCAGCAUGGAGGAGGAAAUGUGGCCCGAAUCCUGAGACGAACCGAGCCACAGAUCUCCCUGGGAGCUUCUCUCCUAUUGGCUGCCAGACAGGAAGUGGAAAGUACAUCACGAGCACAGGACGAGGAAGCAGAUUUAACGCUGAGGGUCAAACUGGCCGCCUGUCCCAGAGAAAGGAUGCAGUGAUCCUGAGCAAGAGGAGCGUCUCUAUAGAGGACUGAUCGGGCGUGACCCCCCCACCCAAUGACAAGCCUCCGACAGAGAAAUCGUGAUCACUCGCCGAGGACUCGCAGCUCUUCUGGAAACAGUUUCACGUGUUGGAGAAGUUUUAGGAACUGGACAGAAUCUGCACGUCUGUCAGAAUCACACCG